rnacentral:rRNA from 1 species
UACGUAGGGUGCAAGCGUUGUCCGGAAUUAUUGGGCGUAAAGAGCUCGUAGGCGGUUUGUCGCGUCUGCUGUGAAAACCCGAGGCUCAACCUCGGGCCUGCAGUGGGUACGGGCAGACUAGAGUGUGGUAGGGGAGAUCGGAAUUCCUGGUGUAGCGGUGGAAUGCGCAGAUAUCAGGAGGAACACCGGUGGCGAAGGCGGAUCUCUGGGCCUGCACUGACGCUCAUGCACGAAAGCGUGGG